UUCUUCUUCCCUCCUCUUCUAUGUACUUUUCCUAUCUUCUGUUUCAUUUUAUUUUCUAUUUUAUUUUCAUUCUCGCUUCUUUCUUUCCUUUCCACUUCUUUCGUUUCCCUCCUGUCUUUCCAUUCUACUCUCACAUCCACUUCUGUCUUUUCCCAUCCAUCCAUUCCACUCCUGUAUCUAUUUCUGUCUUCUCUCUCCCUUUUACUUCUUUCUGGCUAUUAUACAUUCCUCUUUUAAGUUCACUUUUGUCUUUCCCUCUUCUUCUUUCGAUCUUUCCAUUCCAAUCACAUUUCUUCUUCUGUCUCCGCCUUUCUCCUUUCCUAUUCCACUUAGUAUUCACAUUUGACUUCCCUUACACCUUUUCUUCUUUUAGUCUAUUUAAUCCACUAUCAUAUUCACUUCUGUCUCCUUCUUUUCCCUUUUCUCAUCUCUGUCUUUCAAUUCCACUCUUAAAUCAACUUGUAUCUUCCCUUUUUCCCUUUUCCUCCUUCCCAAAUUCCCAUCCACACUCAUUUCAACUUGUCUUCCUCUUCCUUCUUAUCUCAUCUCUUAUCUCUCCAUUCUACUCAUAAAUCUACUUCCAUACCCCUCUUUCACCUUUCUCUUCGUCAUCCCCAAGAUCGCGGACCGCUUGGCCAAAUACGAGGCAGCCAUCAAGUUACAGACGGACAUCAUGGUCAACAACAUCCUUGGCCGGGGCAUUGACAUCCACCUUCUGGGCCUGAGGGAGAUGGCCAAGGAAAUGGGACUGCCGACGCCUGAGAUCUUUGCCCACGACUCCUACCGCAUCGCCAACCACUUCCGCCUUUCCACAAGCCAGGUGCCCACGCUGUCAGACUCCUGGAUGGGGUACGGCCCGGUGGUUCCCGACGGCUACGGCGCCUCCUACAACCCCCACCCGGACUACAUCGUCUUCUGCCUCUCCGCCUUCAAGUCCUGCGAGGAGACUUCGACCCUCGAGUUCGGGCGUAACCUCGAACGCGCCCUAGACGAGAUGAAGGUUUUGCUGGAGAAUCGAUCGGUGUAAGCGGAUAAAAGGCGUCAGCAGGCUGGUAAAGGUGAGGGGAAACACGCCAGCCUACAUCCACCUACAAACGGGCAAAUCCUUAACUGAAGGAGUAACUAGAUGACGUAGCAACCAUCUGUUUCUACCCAGUCUACUACCCUGACAUAUGGUGCGCAGAGCUUUCACAAGUAAAGAUUGAUCGGGACGUAAGUUAACAUGCCCCGCGUCCUCAGUCCCUCCUCCAGCCGGUUAUGCAACUGUCUGAACCAUCGCCUGAUACACAUAGGUUAAAUGAAUACAAAAAAAGAUCGCAUUAUAUAGAUUUAACAUCCCCAGCGGCCUCAAUCCCUCCUUCAGCUUAUUCUUGAACUGUCUGAACCAUCGUCAAUAGGUUCAAAGAAUACAAAGAGGGAUCGGAAUACGCUGUCAACAACCCCCGCUGCCUCGAUCUCCAGUAACUGUUAUAUAAGCUCCUUCUGCUGAUCCCUGAGCUGCCGGUGUAGACGUUUCAGGAUACUCCCCCUAGACAUGACUCCCGGAGUCUCUUGAAACUAGUUUUAAAGCACUCCCCAGUCAAUUGAAACUUGUUAGAUAGCACUCCCCAGUCAACUGAAAUUGGUUUCAUAUGACUCCCCAUCAGGUUGAAAUGACUCACAUUAUUGGAUGAAAAAUAUUUAUUGAUGUUGACUCCCAUACAACACUAAUCAGUAAUCACACUACAGUACAUUAAUGUUGUCUCCCAUCCAAAAGCUAAUCACUAAUCAUGUGCACAUUACACACGAAUAACUACAUUAAAAUGAUUGCCUGCUUUAUUGUCGAGGUACACUGACUCGUUUACUACUUCUCUGCAUUUCGGCCUAUGUAUAUGCCAUGUGUGCAUAGAACCGAACUUUGCCCACACACAUACAUUCACAUGGAACAUGUUGGCUGCUGGUAACAUCUCUGUUGUUGUUCCCCACACUCUAUUUUGACGCACUGAUUCAACUUUGAUGUUUUCAGUGCUGACAAUGAAGUCACAUAUCAAGCUUCUGACAACGUCGUGUUGGUCCUCUUCUCCAGUGAUGGCAUAUGACAAUGCACGAAAAAGACAGCAGAUGUAAUGUUGCGCAACCAAUAUCUUUGCAUUAUGCGAUCAAUGACCUUAUCCUUACCAACGUGGCCUCCCAGAUCAACAGCUUCGUCGGUGUCACCAGCUCCUCGGUGACUGGCCAGCACAAUGUCGAGCUGGUACUGGCGAUCCUUAAUCACCCGAAGGAAGCGACCUUCUGCAAUCAUAUGUAAAAAUAUCAAACUAUAGGUCAUUACACCAUUUGGCUGCACAGGUGUUUCACCAGUAAAGUAUAAAGAAAACGGGAAGCGAAACGUCAAACACUCUAGUUAGAUUCAGAAACACCAAAAAAACUUCAAACAAGGUUCAUUCGACUACAGAGUCAUUUCAAACAGGUGGGGAGUCGUCUGAAACAAGUUUUAAGUCAACUGAACCUAUGUACAGUAGGUUCAUUCGACUACGGAGUCAUUUCAAACGGGUGUGGAGUCGUCUGAAACAAGUCUCAAGUGACGGGGAGCCGACUGAACCAGUUUCAUCUGACUGGGGGAGUCUUCUGAAACAGGGAGUAAUUUGAAACGGCUACACCGGAACCAUCACCGUCUUUUAUGGACAUUCAAUACCACUUUACAUUUCAAUCGUUCCUCCCUGCGGGGCUCGAGGUACGAAAAAGGAACGGUCGUGAGUGUCGAGGCGUCUCUGUUGACACACUCACCGGAUAACGAACGCCUCAAUCACUACGGUCGGUGCUGUCACACGCUUCCAACCUUCACUUUAACUAUUUCCAAAGGCCGAAAAGGAGAUCAAUCGGGUUCUCAUGAGUGUAUUUUUAGGUUUAUGUUACAGAAGAAGGUCAAACUACCAGAAGGGUCCGAAAACUACCCCUGGAUAUGCCCCAAACUCCUAUAAAAGCCUUGCCAAAUAUGUGUACUGGAGCUCCGGAAUGUUUAAGAAUAUAUGACACUCAGACGCUUCCAUCCCUUAUAGCAACUAUUUCCAAAGACCAAAACGGAGAUCAAUCAGGUACUCAUGAUUGUGUUUUUAGGUUCAUGGUACGGAAGAAAGGUCAAACUACCAGGAAGGUCCUCAAAAUACCCCUGGAAAUACCCUCAAAACCUAUAAAAGCCCUGCCAAAUAUGUGCUUGUGCGCCGAAAUGCUAAGAAUACCUGUCUUUUGGCGAAUCUUAUAACUCCUUGACAUACCUAGGUACGGUUCCCCUAUCGAAGCAGCAGCAAGGCUAAUCGUAGGCGGCAAUGCUUCAUAAUUACUCAGUGACAUAUCUAUAUACACGCACGAACACUCCAAUUGAAGAAGCAGCGAGGAUAGUAGUAGUGGGCGGCAAUGUUUCUCCACUAACAAAAUAACACUGACUGACCACAUUGCAUAUAUAGAAAGCCAACUCACUCUUUUCAUUACUGCCAACACGAGAGCUUCCCCGUUCGAUGAGGGGGCGAGAAUCUUUUCGAGCGGCGAUAACCUUUUUGAAAACAUGCAAAUCUUCGUUUGGUGAAGAUGUAUACGAGAUGACAAGCUAAUCCAGGGCAAUGAAGAGCAAUACAGUUAGCCUACAGGUUUCUUAUAAGUAUGUUUAGGGGAAGGACACAACUCAGACGGGAUACUUUUAGCAAUACUCAGAUGGAAUAUUAUGACCUACAUUUUUUAAUUCAGGAAGCGUAAGGGUUAAGAGCAGCCAAGUGAGAGAAGGAGAAAGAGGGAGAGAGGAAGGAGGAGGAAAAAGAAAGAGAGGGGAAGGAGAAUGAGGAAAACAGAGGAGAAGGAGAAGGAGAAAAAGAGAGAAAGAGGAACGAGGAGGGAAACAGAGGGGGAGGAGGAAGAGGAAGAGAAUGAGGAUAAGGAAAAAGAGGAAAAGAGAGAGAGAGGGGAAGGCAUAUUUAGCCUCAAACAGAUAGACAGACACACACACAUACACAAUCUCCCAGGCACAGCGCUCUCCAGACCCUCCCCCCCCCCUACACACACACCACACCUACCCUAUCAAGUGUGCCAUUCCGUUGAUCCAUAUAUAUUUCCUUUAUGUCUCUCGUGGUGGCCAUUCGUCGUUAAUCUUGACACGGCAGAAUGGUGAUGGUGACGUGUUUUUCUCUUCCUUUAACUGCAAAACGAAAUAAAUUAAAAGGAGAGUCAAAAUAAUAGUAGAAAAGAAUGAAAGAAAGCAAUACAUUUGUAGACUAAGCGGCGUGUGUUUAAAAAUUUAUGGAUGAUUGAGUUAUACGUUUUCUUAAAGGCUGAAGAGGAGAAACUACUUAUCAUAUGUAUUUUAAUAGUGGAAAAGAUUAAGAAUAAGACAAAAAGCGUGUUAGAGAAUAGAAGUAACAAUAUAAUAGGCAAGGAAACAAAGCUCGAACACAUUUAUAGGAAAAAAAUAUAGAAAGAUUACGAAUGGAAAGAGGAAUAAGAGGACAGUAAUAUAUAAAAUAAUGACAGUGGAAGAAAUCUCAAAUGAUUACAUAUAAUAUAGAGUAAGAUUACCAAUGGAGGACAAAAGGGUAUAAUGGGAAAUAAAAUAAUGCCCAUGGAUGCUAAGAAGAUAAAGCAGGAGUUGUAUAUAAAAUGAUAACGGCGGAAAAACAUAUCUAGUACUGACUUGUAAUAUAGAGAGAGAGCUUCGAUAAGGAAAAAAACAAGAGGAAAGGGCGAAAAGUAGAACAAUGCCGAAGGAUGCUAAGAAUUCAAUAGAGAUUAGUGAAGGAGAAAACAUUGAAAAGUAGGACAGUGCCGAAGGAUGCUAAGAAUUCAAUAGAGGUUAGUGAAGGAGAAAACAUUGAAAAGUAGGACAAUGCCGAAGGAUGCUAAGAAUUCAAUAGAGGUUAGUGAAGGAGAAAACAUUGAAAAGUAGGACAAUGCCGAAGGAUGCUAAGAAUUCAAUAGAGGUUAGUGAAGGAGAAAACAUUGAAAAGUAGAACAAUGCCGGAGGAUGCUAAGAAUUCAAUAGAGGUUAGUGAAGGAGAAAACAUUGAAAAGUAGGACAAUGCCGAGGGAUGCUAAGAAUUUAAUAGAGGUUAGUGAAGGAGAAAACAUUGAAAAGUAGGACAAUGCCGGAGGAUGCUAAGAAUUCAAUAGAGGUUAGUGAAGGAGAAAACAUGAAACUCUUGGCCUUGAAUGAAAACAAUUGUGAUAGGGAAACCGGUGACCUUUACAGAGUGGAUAGGCCUCGGUAGUGCGGGCCGUGCGUGUACUUAUUUUAAUCUGGUUAUAAUGCAUUUUCUCAUUAAUUAAGAUUAUACGCUCCUCUGACAUUUACUUUCCUUCUUCGUGUCCUUCAUAAUCUCUUUUUUUCUUAUCUUUUCUUUAUUGUUUUGUCCCCUACAGAAUUCCUCUCCACGAAUCACAUUCCAUAGAUCAGCAUAUAUUUUAAUUCUUCGUAUUUUUUCAUCAUUAUUCCCUUUUUCAUCAUAAUUCACCUUUUUUUCCUUCCCUUUUUCCUUUUUUUUUUAUUUCUAGAACAAUUCCUCUCCACUUAUGACAUUCCAUAGAUAAGCAUAUGUUUUAAUUCUUCGUAUUUUUUCAUCAUUAUUCCCCUUUUCAUCAUAAUUCACCUUUUUUUCCUUCCCUUUUUCCUUUCUUUAUCUCUAGAACAAUUCCUCUCCACAUAUGACAUUCCAUAGAGAGACAUAUAUUUUCCUUCCUCGUAUUCUUCGUUAUUUCCCUUUUUCCUUUCUUUUUUUUCCUUCCUUUAUCUCCAACACAAUUCCACUCCUUAUAAAAUCCCUCCAUUAUCAUUAUUUCAUCCUCAGCGACAGAGUGAGAACGAAAAGUAUUAAUUUAUCGUUGACGGAGCAGAGAUCUAAUUAUUAAAGAUUUAAAUUAAAAUAAGAAUGUUAAGAUUAGAAAGAUCUUAUUAAAAAACCCUCUUUGUUCAUUGUUGUCAAAUGUAAUAUAGCUAUACUUUGUCAGUCGUAUUUUUUUU